CCAGAGUCUACAGCAGGCGGCAUCGUUAAGGCGAUGGACUGUGUCCACUGCAUGUUCUACAGCCGCGGUUCUCAAAGUCCAGAUGUGGACCAAACCACAAGUUAAUCCGGACCCAGGUGUCUUUGGGUUCCACUGGAUGUGUUAAAAGCGUUCCUGCUAAAGACGGCCAAGAAGAUGCUUCAUGAACCAUUUGCUGUAUUUUUUGACGCCACUAGGUGGCCACCAUCUCCUAGCUCCCGGAGGGAGCAAAAUCAUGGACUGUCUGGGGGUCGCCGAGGACCAGUUUGAGAAACACUGAACUAAACCAAACAUUGAGUCAUGGCAA